rnacentral:lncRNA from 1 species
CUUGCAAAGGCUGUUGCGCAUCACACGACUGCAUCCUUCAUAAGGGUUGUUGGCUCGGAAUUUGUUCAGAAGUACUUGGGUGAGGUAAGCAUUGAAAUCUUGAAAUGCCCUGAGCCUUGAUAUUUUAUGUGUUAAUCUGCUGUUACCAUCUAUUACUCAUGACUGUUGAACUCUUCCAGUUGCAUCCAUUCAAACAAAAACUUCGCAUUUAAAGUCUUUCCGGUUCUGUCUCAUGAAGGGGGAUUUGGAAGAAAAGCAACUUUUUUUUGCGUGAGAGGUCCCAUUUUCCUUUUAAAUGACAUAAGCAGUCGAGCCUUGAUAUUGUAUGUGUUAAUCUGUUGUUAUCACCUAUUACUGAUGACUGUUGAACUCUUCCAGUUGCAUCCAUUCAAACAAAAACUUGGCAUUUAAAGUCUUCCCGGUUCUGUCUCAUAAAGGGGGAUUUGGAAGAAAAGCAACCUUUUUUGCAUGAGAGGUCCCAUUUUCCUUUUAAAUGACAUAAGCAGUAGCUAAUGCAAGAGCAACAGAAAUACUCCUACUAUGGUCUUGUUUAGGCAAUUAACAUUGUUGCCCCGGGAACACGUUUAAAAGGUUAGAAUCAUGUUUGGAGCU